rnacentral:rRNA from 1 species
GUUUCGGAUCUCAGAUCAAGCAAGAGGACCCG